AAAUAUAGAUGGGAUGGAAGAAUAUCGGAUAUGUCCAUGAUAGAUGAGGAGUUUAGGAGCAUCUCCCGGUUUCUUGAGGUUGAAGUCAGUGUGAGCGCCAUUGCCGCUGAAUCUAGAUGGGAUGUUUGAGUGGCGUUCGCGUAUGUGAUAAAUGAGGAGUUUGGGAGCGUGUCCAGGUUUGUGCUGGUACCAGAACACACAGUUCCUCCAGAGACUACAGUCAGCAACAGAUGUCAGAGGUGACUGAGGGCUGAAGAAAGUGAGCAGAAUGGGUUAUUCAGCUGCAAUAAAGUUCCUCAAGUAAUGCUGGGAGACAGGAGAGCUGUAUGUCUGCAGAGUAACACAUGCCAAGAUCCCAUACGCCAGGCAAUCCUGAUGCUUCCCAGUAGGUCCUGCUCUCUCCUGGGAAUGAAGCCAUAUCUGAGUCCCCUAUGACAGGUUUUCCUGCAGUCAGUCAACAAUCUACACCUUCUCACAGAGCUUCAACACACUAAAGACCAGACCUGAAUUCCCAGGUUCAAGGCUGUGUCUGGCUAUUUUAAUGCCAUAUAGGUGGACUGUUUCCCUUGUUGGCAUCUCCUUAACAGGCAACCACCUAGUUUGGCUAGAAACGGCCCUGUCUGGGGUGAAAAUCUUCAUUAAAAUCUUCUAAU